rnacentral:rRNA from 1 species
AGCAGCCGCGGUAAUUCCAGCUCCAAUAGCGUAUAUUAAAGUUGUUGCAGUUAAAAAGCUCGUAGUUGAAUUUCGGGAUCAAUAUAUUGAUCAUGCUUAGGUAUGUACUGGUAUUAUUGAUUUCUCCCUUCUGGAGAACCAUAAUGUCAUUAAUUUGAUGUCAUGGGGAAUCAGGACUGUUACUUUGAAAAAUUAGAGUGUUUAAAGCAGGCUUUCGCUUGAAUACAUUAGCAUGGAAUAAUGAAAUAGGACGUUUGAUUCUAUUUUGUUGGUUUCUAGGAUCGACGUAAUGAUUAAUAGGGAUAGUUGGGGGCACUAGUAUUCAAUUGUCAGAGGUGAAAUUCUUGGAUUUAUUGAAGACUAACUACUGCGAAAGCAUUUGCCAAGGAUGUUUUCAUUAAUCAAGAACGAAAGUUAGGGGAUCGAAGACGAUCAGAUACCGUCGUAGUCUUAACCAUAAACUAUGCCGACUAGGGAUCGGAUGAUGUUAAUUUUUAAUGACUCAUUC